UAUAACCUGUGGGCACAUUUUGAAAGAUCUCUGUAUCAUUUGCUGUCUCUGGGCUGGAUAAUCUGAAUAAAUCGUUUCAUCUCUGGGAACCUUGGUUGCAUCUUUUACCUGGCUGUGGUAAAUUGCGGACUCUACAUUUCUCAUACACUAUACGGAUAAUAUUGCGGAAUACACAACAAAUCCCUGUUUUGUUUAAAGGGUACCGUCACGUGACCGGAUUCAACCAAUCAGCAUCAAAAUCACCUCACCUGCCGGGCCUGCCUGCGCAAUCAACAAAAAUGCUUGGCAGG